CCAGCGCGACCCAGUUGACUCUGGGUCCACGUGCUGAUAUCGCCUCCGUCUCUAGUGGUUGUGACCUUGAAUAACCAUGUUCUCUUAGGGGCAGGCCUGGUUUAUGGAAGGGAAGACAUCUGUGUGCUUCUCUCUUUGUGCACAGGGCUCGUUGACGUUGGGGACACUUUGCUGUGCCCAGAAAACUUAGGUCCCGAGGAGGCUGUGGAACUGGAGAAUCGAGCCGUCCUGACCAACCUGCAGCAGAAGUACCUGACCACGCUCUCCAACCCCCGGUGGUUACUGGAGCCCGUGCCCAGGAGAGGCGGGAAGGGCAUCUUCCAGGAACAGCACUGAAAAACACCUACAGGAAACAAAGAUCAAUUUCCACGUCACCAUAAAGGACGGGAGGAGCCCAGAGAUGCUGUACGCCGUGCCCCCCGAGCUGGCCCGGGCCCUCACUCCUUCCAAGGCUGACCGCUCGCUCUGCAAACACAGAGUGAAGGAUGGACUCCCUUCCUGCCCGGCAGGAGAAGCUGCUGGACAGGGGCCUGGAAGGAGCGCGGCUGCAAGUCUGGCUCAGGCCCCCUCUUCCUCAUUGCUCACGGCCUCCUCAGACAGGGACGGGAAGGAAAUGGGACCCUUACUGUUGAGUCUAAACAAAUGCUCCAGGACUUGCAACUUGCUGGUCUCCGCGUGGGCCCGGGGCCCCCACAGGAACUCGUGGCGAGCGGGAUCGCUGUCGGCCACCUGCCGGUACUCCAGGUACCCCUCCUGCACCCACGCUUUGGUGAUGAGCUCCCUGGGCUCCCCAUAGAUGAAGUGCUCCCUCCCAGGAUACACCCCCAUGACACCGAGUGCUCCCCACACCUCUUCCUCAGGCGCCCCCUCUCCCCCCAGGACGAUGACACCCAGAAGUAUCACCAGGAGGCCGUUCUUGGGCAUGCUCCGCUCAUCACCCUGCAUCCCAUCACAGGUGAGGCCCAGGGUGGGGACCAGGAUGUACAAGUGCUCCUUGGGGUCCACCUCCUUCACAUCCACCCCAAAGACCAGCUGCAUGCACUCAGAGGCCUGGCUGAAGACCACAGGGAAGUGGUGCUGGUAUGCUCUGAGGAUACUCAGCAUUUCUGCCCUGGUGGUCGGCUGCUUCCUGCGAUACUUGAGGAGCAGGAAGCUCACCAGGUCAGCCAUCAUUGAAAGCUCUGCCCCUUGGCGCAGGGACUCGGCACCGGCAGAGUAGGAAGAGGAGACGGAGGAGGAGGAGGAGGAGGACGAGGAGGACCGGGGGGAUGCGGCCCCCUCCUGCUCAGCCUCCAGCUGCUGCACAUCCACCAGGCCCUGGGCGUCUCUUGGGUCCUGAAGGUCUUCCACAGCCUGGCGGAGCUCACUCAUCUGAACCAGGGACAUAAUGACAGGUGUUGGCAGCUGACAGGAGUCUGGGCCGGGGUGACAGGUGGGGACCCAGUGGCCUUGUGGGAGGACAAGCUUAUCGACCUUCCCAGGGUUUCUAGGGCUGAACGAGGUUUCCUUUGGUGUCCCAUCUUUGUUGUGGGCGUGCGGGUCCCCUCACCCUUCCCUCGGGCCCUCACCUUGACUCCUGGGAGGACCCGGGACUCUUCUCUCUGUUGCCAAGGCGUGGUUCCUUCAGAUGAUCUGACCCGUCCUCUCACACCAAGGUCCUCACCUCCCUGAAAGGCGGGAGAGAAAGGAGAGGAGGCCCCUUUCCUGCUGUGAUUCAGGACAAGGAUACCUCUGGUCAUUGACUUUGGUUUCUGGGCACAGUUCCUUGUUCACAGCUCCCAAAGCCCUUGGGAUGUCCUCAGUGUUGAGAGUGAUGAAUGUGCUUUUUUUGUUUUUUAUGUGAAUGAGAUGUGUUUGCAAAGCACCUAAAAUGGGGCUGGUUGCCAGAAGAGCCAAUCAUGUGAUUAAAAGUUUGGAUCUUUUGGCCCCUCCCCAGCACCACCAGGGAGGGGAGAAAGGCUGGA